rnacentral:tRNA from 1 species
GGGGGCGUAGCUCAAUUGGUAGAGUCCGAGGUUAGUCACCUUCGGGGAUGCGGGUUCAAGUCCCGUCGCCUCCA